rnacentral:rRNA from 1 species
GACGAACGCUGGCGGCGUGCUUAACACAUGCAAGUCGAACGGAAAGGCCCUGCUUUUGUGGGGUGCUCGAGUGGCGAACGGGUGAGUAACACGUGAGUAACCUGCCCUUGACUUUGGGAUAACUUCAGGAAACUGGGGCUAAUACCGGAUAGGAGCUCCUGCUGCAUGGUGGGGGUUGGAAAGUUUCGGCGGUUGGGGAUGGACUCGCGGCUUAUCAGCUUGUUGGUGGGGUAGUGGCUUACCAAGGCUUUGACGGGUAGCCGGCCUGAGAGGGUGACCGGCCACAUUGGGACUGAGAUACGGACCAGACUGCUACGGGAGGCAGCAGUGGGGAAUAUUGCACAAUGGGCGGAAGCCUGAUGCAGCAACGCCGCGUGCGGGAUGACGGCCUUCGGGUUGUAAACCGCUGUCGCCUGUGACGAAGCGUGAGUGACGGUAAUGGGUAAAGAAGCACCGGCUAACUACGUG